ACGAGCGGCGGACGGGUGAGUAAUGUCUGGGAAACUGCCUGAUGGAGGGGGAUAACUACUGGAAACGGUAGCUAAUACCGCAUAACGUCGCAAGACAAAGAGGGGGACCUUCGGGCCUCUUGCCAUCAGAUGUGCCCAGAUGGGAUUAGCUAGUAGUGGGGUAACGGCUCACCUAGGCGACGAUCCCUAGCUGGUCUGAGAGGAUGACCAGCCACACUGGAACUGAGACACGGUCCAGACUCCUACGGGAGGCAGCAGUGGGGAAUAUUGCACAAUGGGCGCAAGCCUGAUGCAGCCAUGCCGCGUGUAUGAAGAAGGCCUUCGGGUUGUAAAGUACUUUCAGCGGGGAGGAAGGUGUUGUGGUUAAUAACCACAGCAAUUGACGUUACCCGCAGAAGAAGCACCGGCUAACUCCGUGCCAGCAGCCGCGGUAAUACGGAGGGUGCAAGCGUUAAUCGGAAUUACUGGGCGUAAAGCGCACGCAGGCGGUCUGUCAAGUCGGAUGUGAAAUCCCCGGGCUCAACCUGGGAACUGCAUUCGAAACUGGCAGGCUAGAGUCUUGUAAGGGGGGUAGAAUUCCAGGUGUAGCGGUGAAAUGCG
rnacentral:rRNA from 1 species